AGUGAACGCUGGCGGUAGGCCUAACACAUGCAAGUCGAGCGGCAGCACAGUAAGAGCUUGCUCUUACGGGUGGCGAGUGGCGGACGGGUGAGGAAUACAUCGGAAUCUACUUUUUCGUGGGGGAUAACGUAGGGAAACUUACGCUAAUACCGCAUACGACCUACGGGUGAAAGCAGGGGAUCUUCGGACCUUGCGCGAUUGAAUGAGCCGAUGUCGGAUUAGCUAGUUGGCGGGGUAAAGGCCCACCAAGGCGACGAUCCGUAGCUGGUCUGAGAGGAUGAUCAGCCACACUGGAACUGAGACACGGUCCAGACUCCUACGGGAGGCAGCAGUGGGGAAUAUUGGACAAUGGGCGCAAGCCUGAUCCAGCCAUACCGCGUGGGUGAAGAAGGCCUUCGGGUUGUAGAGCCCUUUUGUUGGGAAAGAAAAGCAGCAGGUUAAUACCCCGCUGUUCUGACGGUACCCAAAGAAUAAGCACCGGCUAACUUCGUG
rnacentral:rRNA from 1 species